GGAUGUGAGGGUGAUCUGGCUAUGACAUCUGUCACCACAUUGAUGGACAGGGUUGAUUCAGCUGAUCUGGCUGGCUAGGCAGGUGUCCCCUUCCUCCCUCACUGCUCCAUGUGCAUCCCUCCCAAAGCUGCGCUCUCAGUCAAAGAGGACGGCCUUCCCCGAAUAGAGAUGGACUGGUCUUCGGUCCAGGGUGACAGGUCUUUGGUCCAGGGUAUAGGAGUAGCUGCCCUCCCCUGCUAGAACCUUCAAACAAGUGCUCUCUCUCUCCCUCUCUCU
rnacentral:snRNA from 1 species